rnacentral:rRNA from 1 species
ACCGCCCUGCUAUCAGAGUGGGACUAAGCCAUGCGAGUUAACGUAGCAAUACGUGGCAUACGGCUCAGUAACACGUAGUCAACAUGCCCAGAGGACGUGGAUAACCUCGGGAAACUGAGGAUAAACCGCGAUAAGUCAUGAUUCCUGGAAUGGUUCAUGGCUGAAAUCUAUAUGGCCUUUGGAUUGGACUGCGGCCGAUCAGGCUGUUGGUGAGGUAAUGGCCCACCAAACCUGUUACCGGUACGGGCUCUGAGAGGAGGAGCCCGGAGAUGGGCACUGAGACAAGGGCCCAGGCCCUAUGGGGCGCAGCAGGCGCGAAACCUCUGCAAUAGGCGAAAGCUUGACAGGGUUACUCUGAGUGACUUCCGUUAAGGAGAUCUUUUGACACCUCUAAAAAUGGUGUAGAAUAAGGGGUGGGCAAGUCUGGUGUCAGCCGCCGCGGUAAUACCAGCACCCCGAGUGGUCGGGACGAUUAUUGGGCCUAAAGCAUCCGUAGCCGGUCCUACAAGUCUUCCGUUAAAUCCACCUGCUCAACAGAUGGGCUGCGGAAGAUACUAUAGGGCUAGGAGGCGGGAGAGGCAGCGGUACUCAGUGGGUAGGGGUAAAAUCCUCUGAUCCAUUGAAGACCACCGGUGGCGAAGGCGGCUUGCCAGAACGC